CCUACGGGAGGCUGCAGUGAGGAAUAUUGGUCAAUGGACGAGAGUCUGAACCAGCCAAGUAGCGUGAAGGAUGACUGCCCUAUGGGUUGUAAACUUCUUUUAUAAAGGAAUAAAACGCGGCAUGUGUGCCUCUUUGCAUGUACUUUAUGAAUAAGGAUCGGCUAACUCCGUGCCAGCAGCCGCGGUAAUACGGAGGAUCCGAGCGUUAUCCGGAUUUAUUGGGUUUAAAGGGAGCGUAGAUGGGUUGUUAAGUCAGUUGUGAAAGUUUGCGGCUCAACCGUAAAAUUGCAGUUGAUACUGGCAGUCUUGAGUACAGUUGAGGUAGGCGGAAUUCGUGGUGUAGCGGUGAAAUGCUUAGAUAUCACGAAGAACCCCGAUUGCGAAGGCAGCCUGCUAAACUGUGACUGACACUGAUGCUCGAAAGUGUGGGUACCAAACAGGAUUAGAUACCCCUGUAGUC
rnacentral:rRNA from 1 species